UACGGGAGGCAGCAGCUAAGAAUAUUCCGCAAUGGGCGAAAGCCUGACGGAGCGACGCCGCGUGGACGAUGGAGGCCGGAAGGUUGUAAAGUCCUUUUGGGAGGGAAGAAGAAGCCCGGGAGGAAACGCCCGGGCGGCGACGGUACCUCGCGAAUAAGGGGCGGCUAAUUACGUGCCAGCAGCCGCGGUAAU
rnacentral:rRNA from 1 species